rnacentral:rRNA from 1 species
AUUGAACGCUGGCGGCAGGCCUAACACAUGCAAGUCGAGCGGAUGAAGGGAGCUUGCUCCUGGAUUCAGCGGCGGACGGGUGAGUAAUGCCUAGGAAUCUGCCUGGUAGUGGGGGAUAACGUCCGGAAACGGGCGCUAAUACCGCAUACGUCCUGAGGGAGAAAGUGGGGGAUCUUCGGACCUCACGCUAUCAGAUGAGCCUAGGUCGGAUUAGCUAGUUGGUGGGGUAAAGGCCUACCAAGGCGACGAUCCGUAACUGGUCUGAGAGGAUGAUCAGUCACACUGGAACAGAGACACGGUCCAGACUCCUACGGGAGGCAGCAGUAGGGAAUAUUGGGCAAUGGGCGAAAGCCUGAUCAAGCCAUGCCGCAUGUGUGAAGAAGGUCUUCGGAUUGUAAAGCACUUUAAGUUGGGAGGAAGGGCAGUAAGUUAAUACCUUGCUGUUUUGACGUUACCAACAGAAUAAGCACCGGCUAACUUCGUG